CACGUAGGGUGCGAGCGUUGUCCGGAAUUAUUGGGCGUAAAGAGCUCGUAGGCGGUGUGUCGCGUCGGCCGUGAAAACCUGCAGCUUAACUGUGGGCUUGCGGUCGAUACGGGCAUCACUGGAGUUCGGCAGGGGAGACUGGAAUUCCUGGUGUAGCGGUGAAAUGCGCAGAUAUCAGGAGGAACACCAAUAGCGAAGGCAGCUCGCUGGAACGGUACUGACGCUAAGACGCGAAAGCGUGGGGAGCGAACAGG
rnacentral:rRNA from 1 species